ensembl:lncRNA
AAGGAAAACGCUGCUAUGAACAUGCCAAAGAAGCAGGUGGCGCUAGAUUCCUAACCGUGCAGAAAUGUUGGCCAAUCAGAAGUCUAGAAGCCUCGGUGGGAAAAAGUAAACAAAGCUGGGGCAUAGAAGCAGAACCGAGUCGUAUGUGUGGACGGACAGUAACUGUGUGUAUAUGUAAGCAUUUAAACACUGCAGAGAGUAGAAUUAACAGUAUUGUAGAAAUUCAUUUCACCGAAACAAUAACGUGGCGCACAGUGUGACGCAUGCACCAGUUUAUUGUAUUUCCAGACUUGCUUUCGGCACAAUUUACAGUGCACGCUACUCUGUUUUUUGUCAGACUUGAAAUAGCCGAAAUACCUUCACACUAUGGAACUUCUAUGGCUCUUCCGUUCAACAAUCUCUCCGGCAUUGGAACCAUCAUCUGUUUUCUCUUCGGUCACGCUCGGUUGAUUUUUCUAGUCGGCACACUCAUUUCCUCCAUUACGCGCUGGCUCCAUUACCUGCUGGCUGCUUCCCAAACAAACACACGUGCAGCUUGGCACUUGUGCUGUACGUAACAAGUCACACGACGUGACGCUGCGGCUGUGAUUGGUUCAGCUCUGCGCUACUUAAUUUGGAUUGGCUGACCUUUUUUUUUUUUUUUUUUUUAAUAGGACAAGAGCGGCGAGGUCUAUCGCGAUAGCUUAAUUUCUCUAUCGAGUAAAAGUUAUAUCGCGAUACAUAUCGUUAUCGUUCUAUCGCCCAGCUCUAGGCUAAGUACAACUCAGCAUUGCAAAUCAUGUGGAUAUAUGUUUGAAAAUUAUGGCCUCAAAGCUUUUCUUGCCUGUGGCACCUGGAAGCGGUUGGAUACACACUUACUCACCUGUGUGCACUCUGAUGUCACUGCAGAGUUCCUCAGUUUCUCCCUCUGUGGUCUUAAAGAUUUGCUUCUCAUGCACACACACACACACACACACACACACACACACACACACACACACACACACACACACACACAAUAUGGCAGCUUUAUUUAGUAAUAAAUAGCUCUCAGGUUU